UACGGGGGGGGCAAGCGUUGUUCGGAAUUACUGGGCGUAAAGGGCUCGUAGGUGGCCAACUAAGUCGGACGUGAAAUCCCUCAGCUUAACUGGGGAACUGCGUCCGAUACUGGAUGGCUUGAGUUCGGGAGAGGGAUGCGGAAUUCCAGGUGUAGCGGUGAAAUGCGUAGAGAUCAGGCGGAACACCCGUGGCGAAGGCGGCCAGCUGGGCCGUCCCUGACGCUGAGGCGCGAAGGCGUGGGGAGCGAACGGG
rnacentral:rRNA from 1 species